rnacentral:rRNA from 1 species
GACGAACGCUGGCGGCGUGCUUAACACAUGCAAGUCGAACGGAAAGGCCCUGCUUUUGUGGGGUGCUCGAGUGGCGAACGGGUGAGUAACACGUGAGUAACCUGCCCUUGACUUUGGGAUAACUUCAGGAAACUGGGGCUAAUACCGGAUAGGAGCUCCUGCUGCAUGGUGGGGGUUGGAAAGUUUCGGCGGUUGGGGAUGGACUCGCGGCUUAUCAGCUUGUUGGUGUGGUAGUGGCUUACCAAGGCUUUGACGGGUAGCCGGCCUGAGAGGGUGACCGGCCACAUUGGGACUGAGAUACGGCCCAGACUGCUACGGGAGGCAGCAGUGGGGAAUAUUGCACAAUGGGCGGAAGCCUGAUGCAGCAACGCCGCGUGCGGGAUGACGGCCUUCGGGUUGUAAACCGCUUUCGCCUGUGACGAAGCGUGAGUGACGGUAAUGGGUAAAGAAGCACCGGCUAACUACGUG